UCAGGGCUAAUUGAAUCUCAUUUGAGCCAUGCUCACAACUUAUCAAGCUUGAAAGUAAUGGGAAGAAGCCUGACAAGUUUUUCUCAAAUGAUGCAUCUCCUAAACUACAUAUUGCCUGGAGAGUAGCAAUGAUAAGAGGUGCACGUGCAGCCAACUCUCUCCUUCUACCAGAACCCAGGGGAACUAACCAACGAAGCUGUGCACCAAGAGAUGAUUCAGACAUAUGUCCUGAACGUGCGAUUUCAAUAUAGAAGUGUAAGACCUCGCAGCAAAGGUUGACGAGGUAAGUUUCCACAUCAGAAUCUUCAAAACCAGUAGGUUUAUCUAGCACAAGAUUUUGUAAAAAUGAGAGACAAAUUUGAUAAGCCUCAUUCUCAAGCCGUAAUAAAGGAGGGUCCUGCAUUUGGGUCAUAGAACUGAACUCUAGCAGCUUUGACCGCAGUGUCGUGUCACUAUUCAUCUUAUGAGCAUGAGAUGCCACACCAUGCAUGGCAUCAAAGAGGACGAUGAUGUUUUUGCUAGACAACCGAGGUCUGUACAUGUUGUAGAUCUCCAUCACAGCCUGCAAUGUGCAAGAGAUCAUUAUGGUAGAAAUUAAGCUUUCUACAUAUACACAGAAAACGAAUAAUUAAUCAGAUUUACCAUACAAGGUUUUCAAUAAUAUCAAUGUUCUUUCUGAAGACAUUAUCUUUAAGAAAGCAACAACAUGGGGCAAUAGUCAAUACUUGAGAGAAUGACCAAAUUAACGAUACAAAGAUAUCCCGAGUGUAAGUAGACAACUACAGAUAGAUGCAAAACCCACACCAAAAAUGCAAAAACCUAUCGCAUCAAAGAUCUUCCAACAGGAUUCUGAGAUACUCUUAGUUACUAAUCUCACGCUACAGGUACAGGAUCAGCAGUAGAAAGAUUGUCUGAAAUUUGAGAAGGCAUCAAGAGUCCAUAGUUUUAGUCAAAUGUAAUUUGAUUCUCAUUUUCCCAGUUUUAGUGAUACGUAGAAGGGAAGAUGAAAUGAAAUUGGUACGAUCUUCAAGAAGGCAAUACUAAUUAUAUCUCUAAUUAUCAAAUAGUAAACUAAUAUCAAGUAUCACCUUCAGAACUGUGAACAAAAAUAACAAGACUGUAAANACGGAUGAACUGAGCAUAUCACUCAGGGCUAAUUGAAUCUCAUUUGAGCCAUGCUCACAACUUAUCAAGCUUGAAAGUAAUGGGAAGAAGCCUGACAAGUUUUUCUCAAAUGAUGCAUCUCCUAAACUACAUAUUGCCUGGAGAGUAGCAAUGAUAAGAGGUGCACGUGCAGCCAACUCUCUCCUUCUACCAGAACCCAGGGGAACUAACCAACGAAGCUGUGCACCAAGAGAUGAUUCAGACAUAUGUCCUGAACGUGCGAUUUCAAU
rnacentral:lncRNA from 1 species